rnacentral:lncRNA from 1 species
CAGAGUAUAUCUUAUGGAGUAUUAACAUUCUGCAAAGGAAUAUGCUUAAAAAGGGUGAGUCCAACUGUAAAAUGCACACUUUUUUAAUAUCUAAAUAAAAAUCAAGAAAAAUAAAUAGAUUUUUACAUAAAAGUAUGAAAAUUUUUGUUGAAUUGGGUUGAAAAGAUUAAUUAUUUUUAUUUGGAUUGUCAGAGCAUAAAUGUUUGAAUAAUAUGCAUGUGGUCC